UACGAAGGAUCCAAGCGUUAUCCGGAUUCAUUGGGUUUAAAGGGUGCGUAGGCGGACUGAUAAGUCAGCGGUGAAAUCUCUCGGCUUAACCGAGAAACUGCCGUUGAUACUGUUAGUCUUGAGUACAGAUGAUGUUGGCGGAAUAUGACAUGUAGCGGUGAAAUGCUUAGAUAUGUCAUAGAACACCGAUUGCGAAGGCAGCUGACAAAACUGUAACUGACGCUGAGGCACGAAAGUGCGGGGAUCAAACAGG
rnacentral:rRNA from 1 species